CCGGCGCGGUCGUCUCGGCGGCCGCGUCACGAUGGCGCGUUUCCGCUGUUCUCGACGCGGACGGUAGCUUUGCGCGCGGGUAAUCGACGCGGUCCUUCGUCCGGCGUCUCCGUACGUCGGACGGCGCUCGCGUCGACGCCGGUCAGCGACGAAUCUUCGGGCCUCUUUCCGACCCGUCUUGAAACACGGACCAAGGAGUCUAGCGUGCGCGCGAGUCGCGGGGUAUCCGAGUCGUCGUAGUCGUUUCGGCGGCGAACGCGACUCGUCACGAUACGAAACCCGUGUACGUACGUUGUGCGAAGGCGUAAUGAAAGUGAAAGGCGACGCUUCGCGCGUCGCCGGGGGAAGACGGUGUUCCGUGUACCACGUUUCGCGGUCAUACGUGUACCGCGGCCGGACACCCGCAUUCCCAGGGCGUCCCGCUCGUACGUCGGCCGUCG
rnacentral:rRNA from 1 species